AGCGAACGCUGGCGGCAGGCCUAACACAUGCAAGUCGAACGAACUCUUCGGAAUUAGUGGCGGACGGGGGAGGAACACGUGGGAACGUGCCGUUAGGUUCGGGAUAACUCAGUGAAACGUGUGCUAAUACCGGAUGUGCCCUUCUGGGGAAAGAUUUAUCGCCUUUGUAGCGGCCCGCGUCUGUUUCGCUAGUUGGUGAUGUAAAGGCUCAACAAAGCGACGAUCGGUAGCUGGUCUGAGAGGAUGAGCAGCCACACUGGGACUGAGACACGGCCCAAAAUACUACGCGAGGGAGCAGUGGGGAAUCUUGCGAAAUGGGGGAGAGCAUGACGCAGUCCUGCUGGGUGAAUGAUGAAGGUGUGAGGAUAGUAAAAUUCUUUAACCGGGGACGAUAAUGACGGUACCCGGAGAAGAAGCACCGGCUAACUUCGUG
rnacentral:rRNA from 1 species